UACGUAGGGGGCAAGCGUUAUCCGGAUUUACUGGGUGUAAAGGGAGCGUAGACGGCGCUGCAAGUCCGGAGUGAAAGCCCAUGGCUUAACCAUGGUACUGCUCUGGAAACUGUGGAGCUUGAGUGCGGGAGGGGCAGGCGGAAUUCCUAGUGUAGCGGUGAAAUGCGUAGAUAUUAGGAGGAACACCGGCGGCGAAGGCGGCCUGCUGGACCGUAACUGACGUUGAGGCUCGAAAGCGUGGGGAGCGAACAGG
rnacentral:rRNA from 1 species